rnacentral:rRNA from 1 species
GAUGAACGCUGGCGGCGUGCCUAAUACAUGCAAGUCGAGCGAACAGACGAGGAGCUUGCUCCUCUGACGUUAGCGGCGGACGGGUGAGUAACACGUGGAUAACCUACCUAUAAGACUGGGAUAACUUCGGGAAACCGGAGCUAAUACCGGAUAAUAUAUUGAACCGCAUGGUUCAAUAGUGAAAGACGGUUUUGCUGUCACUUAUAGAUGGAUCCGCGCCGCAUUAGCUAGUUGGUAAGGUAACGGCUUACCAAGGCAACGAUGCGUAGCCGACCUGAGAGGGUGAUCGGCCACACUGGAACUGAGACACGGUCCAGACUCCUACGGGAGGCAUCAGUAGGGAAUCUUCCGCAAUGGGCGAAAGCCUGACGGAGCAACGCCGCGUGAGUGAUGAAGGUCUUCGGAUCGUAAAACUCUGUUAUUAGGGAAGAACAAAUGUGUAAGUAACUAUGCACGUCUUGACGGUACCUAAUCAGAAAGCCACGGCUAACUACGUG